GUGAGCUCCCUCGCUACGAGAAGACAACAGCCAUCGACAAAAAAUAGCCACCUCGGAGCCCUCAUUCCCCACCACUCAGCCAUCGUCCCUCUGCCAUUGACUAUAAUACUCAGAUCCACCACCGCCCACCGCUCAGCCACUGCGACAGGAAAUUGCUGGACUGCCAGAAUCAAGGCUCACUACCCGACCCAUAGCGUCCCGGCUACAGGUAAUCCGUUGUGCCGGAGGUCGAACAGAGUCGCCCCUUUCUCUAACGCUGCUCCGACCGAACGCCGUGGUCUGUUCCGCCGUCGCCGGCCGUUCAACCACUGUGAUGGAAUUGGUGGACUGCCAUAAUCAAGGGUAACUGCUCGUCCCAUAGAGACCUAGCUACAGUUGCAAUGCAGGUUCAUAAAGGAUGCAUAUCAGUAGUAUUGGUGAAGGAGAUGAUUUUGUCAAUGUACCAGAUUGAAAACCUGUUCGUGCAAAGGGAACUGCAAAACGAUGUGUGUUUGGGUGAGAGCAAACCAAAUUGCAUAGGUUGUGUGCAUCCUAUCAAAGACAUGCACAUGACUCUCGCACAUGUCCUCUUAGGAUGAAUGCAAUGAACACUUCAAUGGAUAGUGGUACAGAUAAAUAUAUGAUGUGUCAUAAUGUCAAGGAACAUGUGAUGAUAAGAGAAACUGCCCAAAGAUGAAGGAUGCUGGUAUAGUUUUGCACACAUGUGCAAUGGAUAGAUUUACUUCACAUGAUAUGUAAAUUGCUUUUACUUUCAAGCAGGACUAUAACUUGUGUGAUUGUAUUUGUUUUACAUGUACGUGUGCUCCAAUUUGCUGGUGAAUAGCAUACUAGUACAUUUGGUUGCAUUCGACCUGUGUUGGCAACUUUAGUUUUCUUAUAUUUGAUCACAAUCAAUGGGGCAUUUCUUACGUUUA